UACAGCCAUAUCACGUUGAAACGUCAUAUGAUCGUACGAUUACCGAAGUUAAGCGACGUCAAGCCUGGUCAGUACCUAGAUGGGUGACUGCUUUGGAAUACCAGGUGUUGUAAG